UCUGUCGGGGGCGGGGGGAAGGCGGGGGAGCUGCUGCUGAUUCCCUCUCUAUGACUCAUAGACUCGGCCAAUGUGGUGUCUUACGUGAUCUUCUUGACAAGCCCCGGCCCUCUGAAUGGCGACAGAGAGAUUACUGUUAGCUCUACCGUGGAUUCAACAGGCUUCAUUUUGUUAAACAUUCCCUGAAGGCAAUGCUCGGAAUCUGGGGACAAUUACUCAGUCUCCCCAUUGCCUCCUGCUCUUUUUUAAGACGGUGAGGGGUGUGUGGUGUGCAGAGGGAGGGGUUCACUCGGCUUUGGGGAAGAAGCAUUUAUAUCGUCCUUGAGUCCUCCCGUGUCUGGGUGCUCUGCUGGCCUCAAUUCUGACGCUCUCCACUUGGAGACAGCUCGGAUUCCACAGGGUGAGGGCUCAGCCCUACAAGACCACCCCCUCGCCCCUCACCCUCAGGCACAUCCAGGUUGUCCCCUGUUCUCCUGACCAACUGACUGUAGAUUGGCGGUUCCCGUGACCUUCUCAGGUUCUGUUAACUGGCUCCUAGAACGCAGAGAAACAUUUGAGUCAUAGAUCACCAGUGUAUCACAAAAGGACACAACUCAGGAACGUCCAGAUGGAAGGGAAGAGACGCACAAGGUGUGGAAAUCCCAAUGGUUUGAGGAGCUGGGAACCUGAAACCAGCAGGCAGACCAAAUACAUAUCUCUUAUUAUAAAUCACAAUAUUACGCCCCCUCUCUCCUCUUGUCACAGUGAGCUCCUGGCCAUCUUACUGGAUUUCAACUCAGCUGCCUUCCCUCCCACACUGGUGCCGCUGUGGAUGGGGUGCUUCUGGGUCCCACCUACGUCACUGGAAGUCAAGGAGGCCCAAGAAAGCUAAGCUGCAAGGGAGAGAGAGAGAGCGUGCACAGGGGAGAGGCAGAGAGAGAAGAGGAGAGGGAGGGUUCCCAAGCAGGCUCUGCACUGUCAGUGUGGAGCCUGAGGAAGGGGGACGGGCUCAGGAACUAAGAGUCAGAUGCUUACGCGACUGAGCCACGCAGGUGCCCCAGCAAGGGAGCGCUUGUGCCUGCCCACACUGCAUUACCAGGUCUCUGCUGCUGUGGCUGUGACCGCAGGGCAUCCUGGGAGUGCACCUUCCAGAGCCAAGCCCCUACAGGUAAGUGAGCAAAACAAUGAGGGCAAUUUCAGACAACGCUUCCCAGCCAAGGCUUCCCUCUCCUACC